CAGCAGAAAUGAGCUAAUGGGCACUUGUUGGUCUUCUUUGUCCAUGGUGAACCGCAUUGCUAAGUCUUAAGAAAAGAUCUGACCAUGUGUUCUCUUGGAUUGUAGAGACCAUCUGACUUGUGUUCCUUUUGAAUGAAAAGGAAGAGACACAAACACCAUGAUUCCACAUAAAUUAGAAUCCAGAGUUGCAGAAAGCAUAACAAAAUGGAAUAAGGUGCUAAUUGGCCUUAAUCCUGGAAGAGACCAUUUGUAGAUACUGUGGGUACAGAGAACCCUCCCAAUUCUCGAUAUUAAACAGAGCAGUGACCCACCAUCACCUACAGUCAGGAAGACUGUCAUCACAUCAACUCCAUUAUGACACCACAUGCUCCAUGCUGUCCUGUCCCUGCCUGUGCCCCCUGGCUGACUCCCUCACACAUCAUCACUGCUUUAGUAGGUGGUAGGUGUUGGUGGUGUCCUUCACUGUCUGUCUUUUCUACCAGGAUGGUAUAUCUUCCCUACCUGCUGGGAGUGUCAGUUCCCAACAGCUCACUGCUAUGGUUCUCUGGAGAACUGUCCCUCAGCCAAUGGAACUACAUUCCCCUGAAGAGGGGCAGGGAACCCUGGAUCAGAUCCUAUGAACAAACCCUUGUGUGUGCCAAUCACAUCCACAGCAUUGGUUCAAGUUGCUCUGACAGCCUCUGCCAACAUUGGAUUUAGUUGAGAGAAGAGGUCACCCAAAUGACCCUCCAGAGGCCCAAUCUUUCCAAGACGU
rnacentral:lncRNA from 12 species